rnacentral:misc_RNA from 1 species
AUUGUGGUAUAGCAGUAUAUAAAACUGGCGCUCUGCCUUCACCCGGCAAGGUGAACUCAUGAUGACAGGUUAUAACAAUCACCAAACGGAAUUGGAUUUGAAUAAUCUCCACAAGGAAAUAACCGAAAAAUUACAGGUAAAUGGUAGGGUAAAGAGAAAAACCAGACAUAGGGCUGCAAAAAGUCCUCCGGAUGGAAGCUCGCCAUCUUCCCCUUCAUCUCCACGGACAGGUAAAUGUGGAAGGCCAGCCAAUCCAAUCCCCAGACACAAACGAGACUCGCACAUCAAGGCGGAACACAAGCGAAGGGACAAAAUACAGAAAGGAUUUGAAAGUUUAAGGUCUUUGGUUCCCUCUCUUGAAGAUGUGUCUGAAAAGGAAAGCAAAGCUGUUAUGCUGUUUAAAAUGACCUUCAGCAGGAGCUUCCGGUGACUGGUGUAGACGCAGUAGAGGAACCCCCUAGUACAGAUAUCGACCAGCUUUAUCAGCAGUAUGUGGCCUCACAGACCAAGAAAAACUGGAAAUUCUACAUCUUUAGCUUUAUGCUGAAGCCACUGUUUGAGUCCUUUAAAGUUAUGGUCACUACGACAACCUCAGAUGACUUUUCCCAUUCUGUCAGCAACUGGGUCAAAGAAAAACUUGCUCUUCCAAAUCUUCGGAUAGAAUUUCUGAAUUGCUUAAGAACAGUCAGCAAGAACACCAAAAUCAUGGAUGCCCCCGAACUGCUACCAGUGGAAGCCCAUUUGAGUUGUGCUGACAAGUUGUGCACACUUUCGGACAUCAAAAUGGAGGCAGUACACACGCCCUUGACCAUUGCUACACCAGUGAAUAACAGCCCUCCCCAGCUCCCAUCGCAAUCGAAUGUGUGGGUCAGCUCAGUCUUGUCAACAAACACGGACCUGUCCACUACCUAUUCCUCAGGGAAUUCGAUGAUGUCUUCCAGCAUCGUUUCGGAUAACUGCGCCCUGCCGCAGGCCCUGACUGAAGCUACCAUGUGCACGGACUCUCAGGAACUUCCUCUUGGUCCUCUAGGGGACAUCCCACUCCCAACCUGUGAUUCCGAGAUGUCCAUUGUGGACUCUCUACUUAACAAUCUGGACAGUUCUGACUCUCUCCACCAUCUCUUGUCUGACCAACCGGUCUCCCUAAAUGACAUUACCCCCACCCCCAUCACAGAGGGGUUCAUAACCCACAGUCAGAAUCCAUAUACGCAGACUUUUACACCACAUCAGGGACAUCAGAAUGCCCAUUAUUCACUCUGACACAUCUUUUUUAGCUCAACUUAAUGAGCUUUUCUGUUGUUGUAUAAAAAAAAAUUCAUUUCAGUUCCAUAUUUGAGUAGAUGUACCAUUUUGACUGUUUAUUAUCUUGCUGGUGUUUGCUUUCACCUUGAUUAAUCCAUGCUUACAAGUUUUUUCAUUGCAUUUCUUGUUUGUGCUUUUUUAUCGAGAAUAGGGAUCGAUGUUGCACUAUUGCUUAUCCGUGAUAAUGUAUUAUUGAUGCUUAAUUACAGUAUUUACACAAAGGCCUUUCAUCAAGUGUGGCAUUACUGUAUUUAAUUGUUGUUUUAAUUUUCAUUGUAAGUGGUCCAUCCGGGAUGUACAUGUUUGAUAGUUACAUAAGUAUUACAAUACAUAAUGAAUAUUUAGUUUAAUUGUUAUUUCCUGAAUGAGUUUACAUAAUUUCUUUUAAAAACUUUUUUGCAGCAUUUUAUACAAGUAUUGGGGAAACAAAGUUGUUCAAAAUAUAGAAUACAUGUAGCUGAUUUUUGAUAGGAUAAUUUAGAAAGUUUUUGUAUAAUCUGUGUUUACACUGACAGACCAAUGAUUUUGUGAAAUUAAUUGUGCCUUGCUUCCAAUGAUAUACUAUAUUUGACGUGUUCAACGUAAAUUGCCAUGUGAUGUCAUAUGUUCAAAUCAAUUGUUCUUCCAUUUCCUUUAAGUGAUUGUAAAGGGCUUUAUAUGCUUGUAUGUUUUGUAAAAAAUAAAUAUUUUCCUUCCCAG